GGCCCGUUCGUUCAGCGGUUAGGACACCGGCCUCUCACGUCGGUAACAGGGGUUCGAUUCCCCUACGGGCUACCA
rnacentral:tRNA from 1 species